rnacentral:rRNA from 1 species
AAUGGGUCAGCGACUUAUAUUCUGUAGCAAGGUUAACCGAAUAGGGGAGCCGAAGGGAAACCGAGUCUUAACUGGGCGUUAAGUUGCAGGGUAUAGACCCGAAACCCGGUGAUCUAGCCAUGGGCAGGUUGAAGGUUGGGUAACACUAACUGGAGGACCGAACCGACUAAUGUUGAAAAAUUAGCGGAUGACUUGUGGCUGGGGGUGAAAGGCCAAUCAAACCGGGAGAUAGCUGGUUCUCCCCGAAAGCUAUUUAGGUAGCGCCUCGUGAAUUCAUCUCCGGGGGUAGAGCACUGUUUCGGCAAGGGGGUCAUCCCGACUUACCAACCCGAUGCAAACUGCGAAUACCGGAGAAUGU